rnacentral:lncRNA from 13 species
CAUAGCCAGCAGCCGGCGGCUUCAGCAGGCAGGAGCAAGGACAGCCUGUGGCUACUGCAACCCCACUGCCGGGACGCUUCAUGACGGGAGGAAUAUAAAGGCAAAUCAUGGGCUGCACGAGAGGGAAAAAGCUUCAUGUCCCAACCAAAAGUAUUCCCUUUCUGAGGACUGCUGCCCAAGUGUGAAGUAGGAGACGUGCAGUUCAAGGGCACCCGUGCAAUGCUCAUGCGGAGCCCUUUUCUUAGCCCGGCAUGACAGGACUCCCAGAGGCCAAUGGAGUGGAACUAUUGAAGUCCUGCAGAUGGGAGCCACUCUCUGGCUGUGGUCACCAAGGUACUCACGGCCUCCAGAGGCCACAAAGGAUGGAUAAUUGCAACCCACAGGUCUCCUUCGGAUUUCCUCCAAGCCCGCUGUGGAAUUACUCUGCACUCUUUGCAAUGAUGUUUAGUGAUUCUCAUCGUGGAGCAGCUUGCUGGGACCCUGCCAGCUGAUCUUAACAAGCCCACUUACUGCAGGAUUCCCACUGCUUUCCAGGGCUAGCAAUUCCUUAACCAAAGGCAAGUUUCCCAGGAGAUCCUUGAGAAGGUGCCUCAUUAUUACUAUUUUGAUGUUGAAGCAGUUCAUUGUGCAAGUUACUUACCAGGUGGGCCAGUGUGUUUGGGAAGAACAGAGCGGGCAUUGAGCGGACUGGGGCGGGCUGGGGAUGAGGCUCCACUCCCUCCACCCUUGUCCUUCCCUCUUCUUCUUCUCGCUCACCCUCAGAAGCGCCAGGCCCCUUCCAGGCUGCAGCCCCUCAUGUUGUCUUCACGCAUUGAUAGUGACAGCUGUCUUGUGCUAGUUGGUGACUAGGCAUGAACGCAUGGCAGUCGUUGGCUUGUUUCCUCUCCUGGAUAACUUUUUCUUUCUUUUCAUAUUAGUUAGAGGCUCUCAUGUCUUAAUGAAAGGGGGUCGCUCACGUGAGGUUUUGGGUGCACCAGGCGGGUAGGUUCUGAACUUCUGGCCUCGUUCCAUGUCUCAAAGUCUGGAUGACCAUGUGUGCAGGGCCAAGCUGUGCCUGGCCAAAUGGCCCCAAGCAGGAGCGUCGGGCUGUGUGGUAGAGACGGGUGGUGACCCUCCAGCUCUGCUGCUCCAGCGGUAGCUGCAGAGUGUGCAAGGGAGAGUCUCUGGAUUCCAUAGACCAAAGAAGAAAGGACACCCAUGGGUGUAUUCAGAAACAUGAAGCACCCUGUGUGAUGCACCUACACCCAGGCUGAUGGGGACGCCUGCAAGGACAGGCUUGGACACGACAUAGGGGGAGGCAGAUUUGCUUUAGAAAACACACACUAGGAAAGUGGAAUUUGCCAUCAGGCCCUGCCUGAUGGGGUGGUCAGGGUCAGGGGUGGUCAGGCUAAGGAGCGG